UACGAAGGGAGCGAGCGUUGUUCGGAAUCACUGGGCUUAAAGCGUGCGUAGGUGGAUUGGCAAGUCAGGAGUGAAAUCCCAGGGCUUAACCCUGGAACUGCUCUUGAGACUGCCUGUCUGGAAUUCGGAAGAGGUUGGUGGAACUCCCAGUGUAGAGGUGAAAUUCGCAGAUAUUGGGAAGAACACCGGUGGCGAAGGCGACCAACUGGUCCGACAUUGACACUGAGGCACGAAAGCGUGGGUAGCAAACAGG
rnacentral:rRNA from 1 species